rnacentral:misc_RNA from 1 species
GAUGAAGAACGCAGCGAAAUGCGAUAAGUAAUGUGAAUUGCAGAAUUCAGUGAAUCAUCGAAGCUUUGAACGCAUCUUGCGCUCCUUGGUAUUCUGAGGAGCAUGCCUGUUUGAGUGUCAUUAAAUUCUCAACUACACUGACUUUGAAUUGGUGUGGCUUGGAUUUGGGGGGAAAAUUGUUGUGGGCUUUUUGUAUAGUCUGCUCCCCUGAAAUUGAUUAGCGGUACCUUUGUGGAACUGUCUACAGGUGUGAUAAUUAUCUACAUCUUAGACAUCUGCUGGAAUGCUGCUUUCUAAACCUUACUUGUAUUGACAAUCUUGACCUCAAAUCAGGUAGGACUACCCGCUGAACUUAAGCAUAUCAAUAAGCGGAGGA